UACAGAGGGUGCGAGCGUUAAUCGGAAUUACUGGGCGUAAAGGGCGCGUAGGCGGAUAGAUAAGUUAGAUGUGAAAUCCCUGGGCUUAACCUGGGAAUGGCAUUUAAGACUGUGUAUCUAGAGUAGAGUAGAGGGAAGUGGAAUUUCCGGUGUAGCGGUGAAAUGCGUAGAGAUCGGAAAGAACACCAGUGGCGAAGGCGGCUUCCUGGACUCAUACUGACGCUGAGGCGCGAAAGCGUGGGGAGCAAACAGG
rnacentral:rRNA from 2 species